rnacentral:rRNA from 1 species
UACGGAGGAGGCAAGCGUUAUCCGGAAUUAUUGGGCGUAAAGCGUCCGCAGGUGGCGAUUCAAGUCUGCGGUUAAAGACUGGGGCUUAACCCUGGAAAGGCCGUGGAAACUGAAACGCUAGAGUGCAGUAGGGGUAGAAGGAAUUCCCGGUGUAGCGGUGAAAUGCGUAGAGCUCGGGAAGAACAUCGGUGGCGAAAGCGCCCUGCUGGACUGCAACUGACACUCAGGGACGAAAGCUAGGGGAGCGAAUGGG